rnacentral:rRNA from 1 species
AGGGUAAACGCUGGCGGCGUGCCUAAAACAUGCAAGUCGAACGGGCAGUCUUCGGAUUGUCAGUGGCAGACGGCUGAGUAACGCGUGGGUGACGUACCUAUCGGUGGGGAAUAACUGCCCGAAAGGGUGGCUAAAAACCGCAUACGUCCACUGGAGUCGUUCAGUGGGGAAAAUCGCAAGAUGCCGAUGGAGCGGCCCGCGUUCGAUUAGCUAGUUGGUGGGGUAACGGCCUACCAAGGCGACGACCGAUAGCUGGUCUCAGAGGAUGAUCAGCCAGACUGGGACUGAGACACGGCCCAGACUCCUACGGGAGGCAGCAGUUAGGAAUUUUGGGCAAUGGGCGCAAGCCUGACCCAGCAACGCCGCGUGGGUGACGAAGGCCUUCGGGUUGUAAAGCCCUUUUCUGGGGGAAGAUGAUGACGGUACCCCAGGAAGAAGCACCGGCUAACUACGUGCCAGCAGCCGC